GGGUUGUGAGGUUAAGCGACUAAGCGUACACGGUGGAUGCCCUGGCAGUCAGAGGCGAUGAAGGACGUGCUAAUCUGCGAUAAGCGUCGGUAAGGUGAUAUGAACCGUUAUAACCGGCGAUUUCCGAAUGGGGAAACCCAGUGUGAUUCGUCACACUAUCAUUAACUGAAUCCAUAGGUUAAUGAGGCGAACCGGGGGAACUGAAACAUCUAAGUACCCCGAGGAAAAGAAAUCAACCGAGAUUCCCCCAGUAGCGGCGAGCGAACGGGGAGCAGCCCAGAGCCUGAAUCAGUGUGUGUGUUAGUGGAAGCGUCUGGAAAGGCGCGCGAUACAGGGUGACAGCCCCGUACACAAAAAUGCACAUGCUGUGAGCUCGAUGAGUAGGGCGGGACACGUGGUAUCCUGUCUGAAUAUGGGGGGACCAUCCUCCAAGGCUAAAUACUCCUGACUGACCGAUAGUGAACCAGUACCGUGAGGGAAAGGCGAAAAGAACCCCGGCGAGGGGAGUGAAAAAGAACCUGAAACCGUGUACGUACAAGCAGUGGGAGCACAGAGCAAUCUGUGUGACUGCGUACCUUUUGUAUAAUGGGUCAGCGACUUAUAUUCUGUAGCAAGGUUAACCGAAUAGGGGAGCCGAAGGGAAACCGAGUCUUAACUGGGCGUUAAGUUGCAGGGUAUAGACCCGAAACCCGGUGAUCUAGCCAUGGGCAGGUUGAAGGUUGGGUAACACUAACUGGAGGACCGAACCGACUAAUGUUGAAAAAUUAGCGGAUGACUUGUGGCUGGGGGUGAAAGGCCAAUCAAACCGGGAGAUAGCUGGUUCUCCCCGAAAGCUAUUUAGGUAGCGCCUCGUGAAUUCAUCUCCGGGGGUAGAGCACUGUUUCGGCAAGGGGGUCAUCCCGACUUACCAACCCGAUGCAAACUGCGAAUACCGGAGAAUGUUAUCACGGGAGACACACGGCGGGUGCUAACGUCCGUCGUGAAGAGGGAAACAACCCAGACCGCCAGCUAAGGUCCCAAAGUCAUGGUUAAGUGGGAAACGAUGUGGGAAGGCCCAGACAGCCAGGAUGUUGGCUUAGAAGCAGCCAUCAUUUAAAGAAAGCGUAAUAGCUCACUGGUCGAGUCGGCCUGCGCGGAAGAUGUAACGGGGCUAAACCAUGCACCGAAGCUGCGGCAGCGACGCUUAUGCGUUGUUGGGUAGGGGAGCGUUCUGUAAGCCUGUGAAGGUGUACUGUGAGGUAUGCUGGAGGUAUCAGAAGUGCGAAUGCUGACAUAAGUAACGAUAAAGCGGGUGAAAAGCCCGCUCGCCGGAAGACCAAGGGUUCCUGUCCAACGUUAAUCGGGGCAGGGUGAGUCGACCCCUAAGGCGAGGCCGAAAGGCGUAGUCGAUGGGAAACAGGUUAAUAUUCCUGUACUUGGUGUUACUGCGAAGGGGGGACGGAGAAGGCUAUGUUGGCCGGGCGACGGUUGUCCCGGUUUAAGCGUGUAGGCUGGUUUUCCAGGCAAAUCCGGAAAAUCAAGGCUGAGGCGUGAUGACGAGGCACUACGGUGCUGAAGCAACAAAUGCCCUGCUUCCAGGAAAAGCCUCUAAGCAUCAGGUAACAUCAAAUCGUACCCCAAACCGACACAGGUGGUCAGGUAGAGAAUACCAAGGCGCUUGAGAGAACUCGGGUGAAGGAACUAGGCAAAAUGGUGCCGUAACUUCGGGAGAAGGCACGCUGAUAUGUAGGUGAAGCGACUUGCUCGUGGAGCUGAAAUCAGUCGAAGAUACCAGCUGGCUGCAACUGUUUAUUAAAAACACAGCACUGUGCAAACACGAAAGUGGACGUAUACGGUGUGACGCCUGCCCGGUGCCGGAAGGUUAAUUGAUGGGGUCAGCGCAAGCGAAGCUCUUGAUCGAAGCCCCGGUAAACGGCGGCCGUAACUAUAACGGUCCUAAGGUAGCGAAAUUCCUUGUCGGGUAAGUUCCGACCUGCACGAAUGGCGUAAUGAUGGCCAGGCUGUCUCCACCCGAGACUCAGUGAAAUUGAACUCGCUGUGAAGAUGCAGUGUACCCGCGGCAAGACGGAAAGACCCCGUGAACCUUUACUAUAGCUUGACACUGAACAUUGAGCCUUGAUGUGUAGGAUAGGUGGGAGGCUUUGAAGUGUGGACGCCAGUCUGCAUGGAGCCGACCUUGAAAUACCACCCUUUAAUGUUUGAUGUUCUAACGUUGACCCGUAAUCCGGGUUGCGGACAGUGUCUGGUGGGUAGUUUGACUGGGGCGGUCUCCUCCUAAAGAGUAACGGAGGAGCACGAAGGUUGGCUAAUCCUGGUCGGACAUCAGGAGGUUAGUGCAAUGGCAUAAGCCAGCUUGACUGCGAGCGUGACGGCGCGAGCAGGUGCGAAAGCAGGUCAUAGUGAUCCGGUGGUUCUGAAUGGAAGGGCCAUCGCUCAACGGAUAAAAGGUACUCCGGGGAUAACAGGCUGAUACCGCCCAAGAGUUCAUAUCGACGGCGGUGUUUGGCACCUCGAUGUCGGCUCAUCACAUCCUGGGGCUGAAGUAGGUCCCAAGGGUAUGGCUGUUCGCCAUUUAAAGUGGUACGCGAGCUGGGUUUAGAACGUCGUGAGACAGUUCGGUCCCUAUCUGCCGUGGGCGCUGGAGAACUGAGGGGGGCUGCUCCUAGUACGAGAGGACCGGAGUGGACGCAUCACUGGUGUUCGGGUUGUCAUGCCAAUGGCACUGCCCGGUAGCUAAAUGCGGAAGAGAUAAGUGCUGAAAGCAUCUAAGCACGAAACUUGCCCCGAGAUGAGUUCUCCCUGACUCCUUGAGAGUCCUGAAGGAACGUUGAAGACGACGACGUUGAUAGGCCGGAUGUGUAAGCGCAGCGAUGCGUUGAGCUAACCGGUACUAAUGAACCGUGAGGCUUAACCUUACAACGCCGAAGGUGUUU
rnacentral:rRNA from 1 species